rnacentral:rRNA from 1 species
GGUUAAGCGACUAAGCGUACACGGUGGAUGCCCUGGCAGUCAGAGGCGAUGAAGGACGUGCUAAUCUGCGAUAAGCGUCGGUAAGGUGAUAUGAACCGUUAUAACCGGCGAUUUCCGAAUGGGGAAACCCAGUGUGAUUCGUCACACUAUCAUUAACUGAAUCCAUAGGUUAAUGAGGCGAACCGGGGGAACUGAAACAUCUAAGUACCCCGAGGAAAAGAAAUCAACCGAGAUUCCCCCAGUAGCGGCGAGCGAACGGGGAGCAGCCCAGAGCCUGAAUCAGUGUGUGUGUUAGUGGAAGCGUCUGGAAAGGCGCGCGAUACAGGGUGACAGCCCCGUACACAAAAAUGCACAUGCUGUGAGCUCGAUGAGUAGGGCGGGACACGUGGUAUCCUGUCUGAAUAUGGGGGGACCAUCCUCCAAGGCUAAAUACUCCUGACUGACCGAUAGUGAACCAGUACCGUGAGGGAAAGGCGAAAAGAACCCCGGCGAGGGGAGUGAAAAAGAACCUGAAACCGUGUACGUACAAGCAGUGGGAGCACAGAGCAAUCUGUGUGACUGCGUACCUUUUGUAUAAUGGGUCAGCGACUUAUAUUCUGUAGCAAGGUUAACCGAAUAGGGGAGCCGAAGGGAAACCGAGUCUUAACUGGGCGUUAAGUUGCAGGGUAUAGACCCGAAACCCGGUGAUCUAGCCAUGGGCAGGUUGAAGGUUGGGUAACACUAACUGGAGGACCGAACCGACUAAUGUUGAAAAAUUAGCGGAUGACUUGUGGCUGGGGGUGAAAGGCCAAUCAAACCGGGAGAUAGCUGGUUCUCCCCGAAAGCUAUUUAGGUAGCGCCUCGUGAAUUCAUCUCCGGGGGUAGAGCACUGUUUCGGCAAGGGGGUCAUCCCGACUUACCAACCCGAUGCAAACUGCGAAUACCGGAGAAUGUUAUCACGGGAGACACACGGCGGGUGCUAACGUCCGUCGUGAAGAGGGAAACAACCCAGACCGCCAGCUAAGGUCCCAAAGUCAUGGUUAAGUGGGAAACGAUGUGGGAAGGCCCAGACAGCCAGGAUGUUGGCUUAGAAGCAGCCAUCAUUUAAAGAAAGCGUAAUAGCUCACUGGUCGAGUCGGCCUGCGCGGAAGAUGUAACGGGGCUAAACCAUGCACCGAAGCUGCGGCAGCGACACUGUGUGUUGUUGGGUAGGGGAGCGUUCUGUAAGCCUGCGAAGGUGUGCUGUGAGGCAUGCUGGAGGUAUCAGAAGUGCGAAUGCUGACAUAAGUAACGAUAAAGCGGGUGAAAAGCCCGCUCGCCGGAAGACCAAGGGUUCCUGUCCAACGUUAAUCGGGGCAGGGUGAGUCGACCCCUAAGGCGAGGCCGAAAGGCGUAGUCGAUGGGAAACAGGUUAAUAUUCCUGUACUUGGUGUUACUGCGAAGGGGGGACGGAGAAGGCUAUGUUGGCCGGGCGACGGUUGUCCCGGUUUAAGCGUGUAGGCUGGUUUUCCAGGCAAAUCCGGAAAAUCAAGGCUGAGGCGUGAUGACGAGGCACUACGGUGCUGAAGCAACAAAUGCCCUGCUUCCAGGAAAAGCCUCUAAGCAUCAGGUAACAUCAAAUCGUACCCCAAACCGACACAGGUGGUCAGGUAGAGAAUACCAAGGCGCUUGAGAGAACUCGGGUGAAGGAACUAGGCAAAAUGGUGCCGUAACUUCGGGAGAAGGCACGCUGAUAUGUAGGUGAAGUCCCUCGCGGAUGGAGCUGAAAUCAGUCGAAGAUACCAGCUGGCUGCAACUGUUUAUUAAAAACACAGCACUGUGCAAACACGAAAGUGGACGUAUACGGUGUGACGCCUGCCCGGUGCCGGAAGGUUAAUUGAUGGGGUUAGCGCAAGCGAAGCUCUUGAUCGAAGCCCCGGUAAACGGCGGCCGUAACUAUAACGGUCCUAAGGUAGCGAAAUUCCUUGUCGGGUAAGUUCCGACCUGCACGAAUGGCGUAAUGAUGGCCAGGCUGUCUCCACCCGAGACUCAGUGAAAUUGAACUCGCUGUGAAGAUGCAGUGUACCCGCGGCAAGACGGAAAGACCCCGUGAACCUUUACUAUAGCUUGACACUGAACAUUGAGCCUUGAUGUGUAGGAUAGGUGGGAGGCUUUGAAGUGUGGACGCCAGUCUGCAUGGAGCCGACCUUGAAAUACCACCCUUUAAUGUUUGAUGUUCUAACGUGGACCCGUGAUCCGGGUUGCGGACAGUGUCUGGUGGGUAGUUUGACUGGGGCGGUCUCCUCCUAAAGAGUAACGGAGGAGCACGAAGGUUGGCUAAUCCUGGUCGGACAUCAGGAGGUUAGUGCAAUGGCAUAAGCCAGCUUGACUGCGAGCGUGACGGCGCGAGCAGGUGCGAAAGCAGGUCAUAGUGAUCCGGUGGUUCUGAAUGGAAGGGCCAUCGCUCAACGGAUAAAAGGUACUCCGGGGAUAACAGGCUGAUACCGCCCAAGAGUUCAUAUCGACGGCGGUGUUUGGCACCUCGAUGUCGGCUCAUCACAUCCUGGGGCUGAAGUAGGUCCCAAGGGUAUGGCUGUUCGCCAUUUAAAGUGGUACGCGAGCUGGGUUUAGAACGUCGUGAGACAGUUCGGUCCCUAUCUGCCGUGGGCGCUGGAGAACUGAGGGGGGCUGCUCCUAGUACGAGAGGACCGGAGUGGACGCAUCACUGGUGUUCGGGUUGUCAUGCCAAUGGCACUGCCCGGUAGCUAAAUGCGGAAGAGAUAAGUGCUGAAAGCAUCUAAGCACGAAACUUGCCCCGAGAUGAGUUCUCCCUGACCCUUUAAGGGUCCUGAAGGAACGUUGAAGACGACGACGUUGAUAGGCCGGGUGUGUAAGCGCAGCGAUGCGUUGAGCUAACCGGUACUAAUGAACCGUGAGGCUUAACCUU